UUAGUGGCGGACGGGUGAGUAACACGUGGGAACGUGCCUUUUGGUUCGGAAUAGCUCCUGGAAACGGGUGGUAAUGCCGAAUGUGCCCUUCGGGGGAAAGAUUUAUCGCCAUUAGAGCGGCCCGCGUCUGAUUAGCUAGUUGGUGAGGUAAAGGCUCACCAAGGCUACGAUCAGUAGCUGGUCUGAGAGGAUGACCAGCCACAUUGGGACUGAGACACGGCCCAAACUCCUACGGGAGGCAGCAGUGGGGAAUCUUGCGCAAUGGGCGAAAGCCUGACGCAGCCAUGCCGCGUGAAUGAUGAAGGUCUUAGGAUUGUAAAAUUCUUUCACCGGGGACGAUAAUGACGGUACCCGGAGAAGAAGCCCCGGCUAACUUCGUGCCAGCAGCCGCGGUAAUACGAAGGGGGCUAGCGUUGCUCGGAAUUACUGGGCGUAAAGGGAGCGUAGGCGGACAUUUAAGUCAGGGGUGAAAUCCCAGAGCUCAACUCUGGAACUGCCUUUGAUACUGGAUGUCUUGAGUGUGAGAGAGGUAUGUGGAACUCCGAGUGUAGAGGUGAAAUUCGUAGAUAUUCGGAAGAACACCAGUGGCGAAGGCGACAUACUGGCUCAUUACUGACGCUGAGGCUCG
rnacentral:rRNA from 1 species